rnacentral:rRNA from 1 species
GACAGAGGGUGCGAACGUUGUUCGGAAUUACUGGGCGUAAAGCGUGCGCAGGCGGUUGUGCAAGACCGAUGUGAAAUCCCCGGGCUUAACCUGGGAAUGGCAUUGGUGACUGCACGGCUAGAGUGUGUCAGAGGGGGGUAGAAUUCCACGUGUAGCAGUGAAAUGCGUAGAGAUGUGGAGGAAUACCGAUGGCGAAGGCAGCCCCCUGGGAUAACACUGACGCUCAUGCACGAAAGCGUGGGGAGCAAACAGG